AGCGGCGGUCCCUCACGCAGGGGGUCUUUCUCACCGUCUCUGGCGGCAGCAGAAUGCAGAAAUGCGAUUUACACGUUUAAUCGACAUCUUGAUUUUGUAACGUGGAUUUAAAGAGAUACGGUCAUGUUUUUUAACGUGCAGUCAACCUUUCGUAUCCACUGUCAGAGCAGCUUUUAUCAUGGAAACUAACGUAUGGCUGCUGCCAGAGGAAGGCUUGUUUAUAACGAUGCUAACGACUUUAUUCAACAUGACCGUAACGUUAACGCUUUUGGGUUUCCGCAAUUAGUAACGUCAACGUUACUUUCCCUUUACUAAACAGCCGUUACCUUUAUCGUGUAUUUACCACAGCCUGUGAUCUAACACAACAUACAAGAUGCCUAAUGCCAGUGCAAGGCCGAAGCAUGGCAGGAGGACCCGAAGGCGACGCAGAGAGGACCCUGCUAGGAACGAGCUGGUCUCUAGUUCCCUUGAAAGUGCCCAGCAGUGCUUGUUCAACCAAGAUUAUGGAACUGCCUUUGUGCACUACCUUCUUGUCCUCAACCUUGCACCUAUGUUUAAGGACUUUGCAAGGGAGUCCUUCAGGUUCACUCUCUUCAAAUGGACAGAAGAGCUGGACUCUGUGGGCCGCAUUCAAGACCUCUUUGACUGUUAUGAACAAGCGCUGGAACUGUUUCCUGCUGAUGAGGUUAUCCUGAACAGCAUGGGUGAACACCUGUUCAGAAUGGGCUUCAGAGACGAAGCCGCCGGGCAUUUCCAUAAAGCCUUGAAGCUGAGACCAGACUAUCCAGAAGCCAGGGAGAACUUUUACCGAGUGGCCAACUGGUUGGUGGAGCGCUGGCAUUUCUUAAUGCUCAAUGAUCACGGAAGGAACCGCAAGUACCAGCAAGCCAUUCAGAAGGCUGUUCAGAGCGGCUGCAACACUGUACUGGACAUAGGCACUGGCACUGGGAUCCUUGGUAUGUGUGCGAAGAAGGCAGGGGCCGCUGAGGUGUAUGCCUGUGAACUGUCGAAGACCAUGUAUGAAUUGGCCUGUGAGGUGGUGACCGCUAAUGGAAUGGAUGGCAGCAUCAAGAUCCUCCAUAUGAAAUCUCUGGAGAUGGAAGUGCCGAAGGACAUUCCACACAAGGUAUCCUUGGUGGUGACAGAGACUGUAGAUGCAGGAUUGUUUGGGGAGGGCAUCAUAGAGAGUCUUAUUCAUGCCUGGCACCACCUCCUGCUACCUCCACAGCGAGGUGAGAAUGAAUUCCUGGAGCCGUCUGCGACAGGCCGGGUCAUCCCCGCUGGAGCCACGGUGUUUGGGAUGGCUCUUGAAAGCCUGGAGAUCCGCAGGCAUCACAGGCUGUGUGUGUCGGAGGUGGGCAGUCUGUCCAUAGCUGCAGCCGGGGAGCUUCGUAGCCCAGUGAGCUGCAGCCCUGAGCCAGAUGACUCCAUGGAGCCUUACACUACAGAGAGACUAAGCAGACUGCCUGGGGGCUACAAACCUCUCACGGAGCCAUUCACAGCCCUCAACAUAGAUUUCAACAACGUGCAGGAACUGGAGGGGCUGAGCUCCAGGGAGGUGCAGCAGAUCCGCCUGCCUGUCACUCAGGAGGGGGAGCUGGACGCUCUGGCUGUGUGGUUCCAGCUCCACCUGGACGAGGAGAGCAGUCUGUCUACUGGACCCCAGGAGGACACCUGCUGGGAGCAAGCUAUCUACCCUGUCCACAGCACCAACGGUUUUGUCCUGAAACCCCAAGACGAGCUGCUUGUUGAAGUCUCCUGCAGAGAUGCCUUCCUGAGGCUAUGCAGUGUUGCUGUGCUGAGAGAUGGGCAUGAAAUCCGUCUGGACAAGCGUCUGGAUCUGAAGGACUCUGGAAACCCCAUUCCAAAUCCAGACCCAAACCCAGAGGCUGAACUGUGCAGUGCGCUGGCAUGUCUUCAGACUGACCAGAAUCCAACUAAAGACUUCUGCAUGCUGGAAUGUUCAGAAAUGGCACUUUUGAACAACAAAGAUUACCAUCUGAGUUUUUGCAGUGCACUGACCAAACUCUUCUCCCAGCUGAAGGUUAAAUGCCAAAACAAAGAGCGCAGAUCUGACUCCACGGACUCCGCAGACUGUAGUGACCUGCUCUAUGUCCUUGAUGUGUCGGAGGGUUUCUCUCUACUCUCCCUCAUCGCUGCCAGCAAUGGUCACGUAAAAGCGUACAGCUCUGUGGAAAAGACCAAGCAACAGGAAGUCCUGAAGAGACUGGCUCGCUCCAAUAAUGUCCCAGAACAGCAUCUCGAGUUCUGGCUCAACCACAUGGAGGAUGAGCAGGGGAUGCUGAAAAGGCCGUCCAGAGAGAAGCUGUGGAGCGCCAUCAUGCUGGACUGUGUGGAGACUUGUGGUCUCAUUAGGCAGAAGUUGAUGGAGAAAGCAUCACUGGCCAGGUGUUUGCUGGAAGAUGGAGGAUGUAUUUUCCCAGCUAAGAUUGUGGUGCACGGGAUGCUGGUGGAGUCGGACACGUUGCUGUUGGAGAGUGCUGUCCAGGGCCAGGAGCCGACAUUGGGGUUCAAUAUUGCUCCAUUCAUCAACCAGUUCACUGUACCUGUCCAUGUGUUUUUGGACUUGUCCACACUGGAGUGCAGGCAUCUCAGUGACUCUGUGGAGCUCUUUGUUCUGGACUUAAUGGAUUCCACCGCAAACUACACUAACAGAGAAGUAACGGUCCAGGCUACGUCUGCAGGCAGAUUAACUGCAAUCCCCUUCUGGUACCACAUCUACCUGGACGAGGAGAUCAGUGUCAGCACCCUGAGCCAGAACUCUCACUGGAAGCAGGCCGCUGUUGUGUUGCAGCAGCCCCUGGAGGUUAGAGCCGGAGACAGGGUCCACCUCGCUGUGAAGCUUCACAAGAGCGCCAUCUCUAUAUCCGCCCAUAUAGAGAAUACCCCCAGGCAAAUGGAACAAUAAUGUCUUGUCCUAGACUUUUGUAAUGAGUGUCAUUUCUAUGUAUUUCAUGCCCCAGUCAAAUAGGGGCAAUUGACACAUAAGGAAAUGCAUUAAAUGCUAUGCAUUUCCUUUAUGGUAUCAUUUAAAGAUUUACUUUCUACAGUGUUAUUUUUUUUCCCUAAUUGUUAUACCAUUCUUCAACAUUUUCCCCAGACAGAUGGGAUGUCAUUUUGAGAUUUAAAGGCCGGCAUGAGCCACAUCUUUGGAAUUGUUAGUAUAUAAUAUAAAUAUUAUAGUUGUCCCUUGAUUAUGGGCGCAGUUGUUUUUCUAAAGAUGUUUUUUGUUAUCAAUUUAAAAAGUGAUUUUAUUAAUAAAUGCAAGAAAGAAAAAACAGAAAAUGCAGUUAAUCUGAUUUAUUUAAGAGACUGUCAGAGAUAGAAUUAAACUAAAAUGUGAAAAAAAACAUCUGAUGUAAUCCUGUCAGUUUUAUUUGAAUAAAAAAAUAAAACCAUGUAAGGCAACGUAACAUUCUCUAGCUGGACAAGAUGCAAAUUAGGCUUUAGAUUUGAUAUGUUUUUAUCUGACAAAUUAAUAUGCUACAUUAAACAUGUCUAUAUCCCUGCUCAAAUCCAUAUAAGUACCAAUGACAUAAGAGCUUGGAAAACCAAUGGGGAAAA